GCUCAUUGAAACACCAGCAAGAUCAGCCAUACUUCCCAUGCUGUAUUCUGUACUUAAGACACUACUAUCAUCCAACUGAUUAUCCGAUAACUCGUUCUCUCGUGUUGUUUUUUGAAGUUUCAAUGCAUAUUCCAAGUUCCACAAAACUUCUCCCAUAGUCGGACGGUCUGCACCAUAUUCAGCCAAGCAUUUCUCAGCAGUCUCUACAAACUUCAUCUGGGAUUCUGGUGUAAUCUCGUGUGCAAUCCUAGGAUCAACGAUUGCCUCUGAUUCUCCUGUCCUUAAACAUUUCAUCACAUAUUCAACCAAGUUUACCGAUUCUCUAGGAAGAGAGGGAUCGAUAACGGGCCUUCCACAGAGGACUUCAAACAUUACAACACCAAAGGAAUAGACAUCAGAUUUAUCGGUUAGUUGUUGCCUUGUCAAAUACUCUGGAUCAAGAUAUCCAAAA
rnacentral:misc_RNA from 1 species